GCCACCUUAGCUCAGUUGGUAGAGCGACGCACUCGUAACGCGUAGGUCAUCAGUUCAAUCCUGAUAGGUGGCU
rnacentral:tRNA from 1 species